AUUAUUCAUCAAGAGUAAGAUUAAUUUCUUCUCCAACCUGCCAGCUCCGGCAAGGUGGAAAAAUGAUGAGGCAAUCAGCAAUAUAGGAGAAAGG
rnacentral:ncRNA from 1 species